UACAGAGGUCUCAAGCGUUGUUCGGAUUCAUUGGGCGUAAAGGGUGCGUAGGCGGCGCGGUAAGUCGGGUGUGAAAUUUCGAGGCUUAACUUCGAAACUGCAUUCGAUACUGCCGUGCUAGAGGACUGGAGAGGAGACUGGAAUUUACGGUGUAGCGGUGGAAUGCGUAGAGAUCCGGAAGAACACCGAUAGCGAAGGCAGCUUACUAAGGAGUAACUGACGCUGAGGCACGAAAGUGUGGGGAUCAAACAGG
rnacentral:rRNA from 1 species